UGGGGGAUAUUGCACAAUGGAGGAAACUCUGAUGCAGCAACGCCGCGUGAAGGAUGAAGGUCUCGGAUUGUAAACUUUUGUACUUGGGGACGAUAAUGACGGUACCCAAGCAGCAAGCUCCGGCUAACUACGUGCCAGCAGCCGCGGUAAUACGUAGGGAGCAAGCGUUGUCCGGAUUUACUGGGUGUAAAGGGUGCGUAGGCGGCUAUGCAAGUCAGUUGUGAAAACUAUGGGCUCAACCCAUAGCCUGCAAUUGAAACUGCG
rnacentral:rRNA from 1 species